ensembl:snRNA U2 U2 spliceosomal RNA
AUCGCUUCUCGGCCUUUUGGCUAAGAUCAAGUGUAGUAUCUGUUCUUAUCAGCUUAAAUAAUCAGGAUGGAAAUUCAAUUCUUCUUAUUCUCAGUUGAGCUUUUUCUAAUUAAAUGCAUUACGAAAUAUUUUCAAGAGUCCCUUA